rnacentral:misc_RNA from 1 species
UAAUAAACAUAAGUCUUGAUAUGGGUUGCGUGCAAAUCGUAUAAAGAUGUAGAUCCAUAAACUCAAAAGUAGUACACCAUAGCUGAGAACAUGAAUCCAAGCAAGUAGCACAGUUGCCAUAUAACCCAAUAGGAGACUAAUAUUUCUAACACAUCUUUUGUAAUUUGAGUUGGGAUGGGCUUUGAGUGCAUGUUCAGCAAUAGUUGAUUAGAGCAACCACCAACAUCUUCAUUUCCCAAUAUUUGAAGGGUAGAUAAUAUUUCAUCGCGCGUCCUGUUAUAUAAACAUGUAGACCCAUAAUGUCAGAAGUAACACACGAUAGAUGAGAACAUGAAUCAAAA